AUGCCGCGUGCGCUUGGUGGGAAGGGGAGGGGGAGGGGCGGGGCUCCGGCGAGGCCCAUCGCGGCGAUCCCCGUCGCCGUCGGCGUCAACCGGCGGAUGGCGCUCGAGAUGCGCAAGGCGGGGCUGAUGAACAAGGCGAAGGAGCUCGCGGAGAUGGCCGACGCGCCCGUCGCGGUGCUCUGCUCGGGCCUCGACGGCCAGGGCGCCCUGCAGUGCUGGCCGUCGACGGAGACCGCGAGGGCGGUGGUGGGUCAGUUCCUCGAGCUCCCGAAGGAGGCCCGGAUCACGUUCGAUCAGGCCAGCUACAUCGCGGGCGUGCGCGACGCGCAGGGGUCCAGGCUGGCCGGGGUGCGGGCGGGCGGCCUCGCCGCCGCGCUCGGGCCGUGGGAGAGCCCGCUCGACGGGAUGUCGGAGGACGCGCUCCGGGAGCUGCUCGCUUCCGUCGGCAAGUCCCUUGAUGCCACGCGGAGCAGGAUCCGGAGGCUGCAGACCCAGCGUCGCGAGAGCGUGGCGGAGAACUUCGUGGUGGCGGGGGAGGGUCACGCGAGCGGCGAGGUGCAGGGGACGCGGAGGCAGCCACGGGGCGCCGCCACGGCCCCCGGUGCUGCGCGGAAGAAGCAGCUGGUGGAGGAUCCCAAGGUGAAGCCCGCCGCCGCCGACGGCGCUGCGCGGAGGAAGCAGCUGCUGAAGGAUCCCAAGGAGAAGCCCGCCGCCGCCGAUGGCGCUGCGCGGUGGAAGCAGCUGCUGAAGAAUCACAAGGAGAAGCCCGCCGCCGCCGCCAACGUCCACGCUGCGCGGAGGAAGCAGCUGCUGGAGGGUCCCAAGGAGAAGCCCGUGCGCGCCGCCCCGUUCGACCCCGGGAUGAUCGAGUACUACAUCAACGUGGGCGGGUGCGUGAUGGAGCGCGACGCCUACGACUUCAUCCGGUACGACCUCGGGAUGCUCCCGCCCAGCCUCGAGCCCGAGCCGCCGGAGCCGGACUACGACGAUCCGCCGCGGCUGUGGUCGUGGGACGACUCCUCCUUCCCCCAGAGCGCGCCGCCGCCCAAGUGA
rnacentral:rRNA from 1 species